CAGGUUGGGAAGGGGUCUGGGGGGAGGUGGGUGUGCCGGAUGGGACUGUGCAUGGACACAGCCCUACUGAUGGCAGUUCUGGGCUGCAUAGACAGGGAGGGAGGGCGGAUGUGGGGUGGUAUUGCCACCCCUGCUCGCAGCCUCGCAGCACGGAGCACAGGAGGUUUGCAAGGAUGUUUACAUGUUAGAUUGGCCUUGCUAAAAUGAGAGAGCUAAAAUGCACUUUAUCAUGUGUGUCCCCCUCCUCUUAUUCCCAGUGCCCACCCCAGCCACUAGCCCAGCUGCUGGCCAGCAGUGGGUGGCUGCUCGGUCCCAGGCACUGCCUCUCGGGUAGAGCCAUGUUUUCCAGACAUGCUCCAAAAGACGAAAUCCCAUAGUACCUUUUUGGGGUUUACUUGGUCCCUGCUUGGUCUGCCUCCAGGCUGGGGAGAAGCUGAGUCAGGGCCAUGGGAUUUUUGCCUUCUAUUGUCACUCAUUCUCAAAAAAAUAUAUGAAUAAAUAAAUAUCUUUAUUCAGGUUGAUUUGUAUUUGUUUACCUCAGUGUUAGCAAUGACCUGUGUUUUUGAGACCCAUUUGGAAUUGAGGGUUGCUGGUGGGUUUGGUGCUUACAAGAACACAUAUGUGUGACUUGUUGGUGACAAGCAGUGGGUAGGAAAGUGACUGAUGCCACCUGUGUCAGGUUUCGGCUCCAGUGUUGGUGUCAACCUAUUAGUCAUUCUGAGGCUUUCUAGUACACAAGCACCUAUAUACUAUAUUUCUCUAUAUAGAUAUAUAGAUGUAUUUUUAAUAUACACAUAUGUGCAUGUAUGUGUGUAUCUAUAUAAAAAUACAUAUAUAUAGGCCACACAAUUCCAGACCUCUGAAAACACAGGCAGCUUUAAUAAAUAAAAAGUCUUGCACUUUUAGCAUAUUUGUACAUAUAAGCUAAAGCCUGGUGGGUAUAAUCAGGCUGGUUUGACAAAUACAGUGAAAAGUUACUGUAUAUAUUGUAUAUACUCCAUAUAAAAUAAGGAAAAAAAUCUUAGUAUAAAUCUUGAAAAAUAUGGAACGCUUCACGAAUUUGCGUGUCAUCCUUGCGCAGGGGCCAUGCUAAUCUUCUCUUUAUCGUUCCAAUUUUAG